UUCGGUCAUGUCAUGUUCAAACACCGGUUCUUGUACGAUCACCAAAGUUAAACAACGUCGAGCCUGGUCAAUACCUGAAUGGGUGACCGCUUGGGAAUACCAGGUGUUAUAA